CCCGGGCUCAACCUGGGAACGGCGUUUGUGACUGUGUGGCUAGAGUGUAGCAGAGGGGGGUGGAAUUCCACGUGUAGCAGUGAAAUGCGUAGAGAUGUGGGGGAACACCGAUGGCGAAGGCAGCCCCCUGGGUUAACACUGACGCUCAUGCACGAAAGCGUGGGGAGCAAACAGGAUUAGAUACCCUGGUAGUCCACGCCCUAAACGAUGCCAACUAGGUGUUGGGGGAGGAGACUUCCUUAGUACCGUAGCUAACGCGUGAAGUUGGCCGCCUGGGGAGUACGGUCGCAAGAUUAAAACUCAAAGGAAUUGACGG
rnacentral:rRNA from 1 species